GUGGGGAAUUUUGGACAAUGGGCGCAAGCCUGAUCCAGCAAUGCCGCGUGCAGGAAGAAGGCCUUCGGGUUGUAAACUGCUUUUGUACGGAACGAAACGGUCCGGGUUAAUACCCUGGGCUAAUGACGGUACCGUAAGAAUAAGCACCGGCUAACUACGUGCCAGCAGCCGCGGUAAUACGUAGGGUGCAAGCGUUAAUCGGAAUUACUGGGCGUAAAGAGUGCGCAGGCGGUUUUGUAAGACAGGCGUGAAAUCCCCGGGCUCAACCUGGGAAUUGCGCUUGUGACUGCAAGGCUGGAGUGCGGCAGAGGGGGAUGGAAUUCCGCGUGUAGCAGUGAAAUGCGUAGAUAUGCGGAGGAACACCGAUGGCGAAGGCAAUCCCCUGGGCCUGCACUGACGCUCAUGCACGAAAGCGUGGGGAGCAAACAGGAUUAGAUACCCUGGUAGUCC
rnacentral:rRNA from 1 species